rnacentral:rRNA from 2 species
UCCUACGGGAGGCAGCAGUAGGGAAUCUUCCGCAAUGGACGAAAGUCUGACGGAGCAACGCCGCGUGAGUGAUGAAGGCUUUCGGGUCGUAAAACUCUGUUGUUAGGGAAGAACAAGUACAAGAGUAACGUCUUGUACUUUGACGGUACCUAACCAGAAAGCCACGGCUAACUACGUGCCAGCAGCCGCGGUAAUACGUAGGUGGCAAGCGUUAUCCGGAAUUAUUGGGCGUAAAGCGCGCGCAGGCGGUUUUUUAAGUCUGUUGUGAAAGCCCACGGCUCAACCGUGGAGGGUCAUUGGAAACUGGGGAACUUGAGUGCAGAAGAGAAAAGCGGAAUUCCACGUGUAGCGGUGAAAUGCGUAGAGAUGUGGAGGAACACCAGUGGCGAAGGCGGCUUUUUGGUCUGUAACUGACGCUGAGGCGCGAAAGCGUGGGGAGCAAACAGGAUUAGAUACCCUGGUAGUCCACGCCGUAAACGAUGAGUGCUAAGUGUUAGAGGGUUUCCGCCCUUUAGUGCUGCAGCUAACGCAUUAAGCACUCCGCCUGGGGAGUACG